rnacentral:tRNA from 2 species
UGCGGGUUGAUGUAAUAGUAACAUAUAUGGCUCAUGCCCAUAAAAUUUAGGUGCAACUCCUAAAUCCGCAA